UAGCCCUAACCACCAAAUCUACAAUUCACCACAUCUACACCAUAAAACCACCAAUACACUUUUAAACAACUUUAUUUCGGCUACAAAACCACCGUGAUCAAACAAUAAGCAACAACUUAAAACCUCCAUCAAUCUCUCAACCCUCACACAAACAUACCCCCUCCUUCUGAUCUAUUUCCAACAACUUUCAAACCGUAACAACUCACCAAACCUCACCGCCAAUUGCUUCUCUUUACUGUCAACAAACCUUCUCCGACCACCUGUUCAGUUAGAUUAUCGAAGGAGAAUUCAAUGCCUACAAUGGCCGAUCUGUGACAUCUCUAGAGCAGGAGGUUCUAUGGACAUGGAAGAUCUUCAAUGUGUUACAGGAUUAAGAACAUACAAGAUCAUGGAGAAGUAUGUUAGGGUGGUAGUUAUUAAGCAAGGAAAUUCCAGCUGCUGAGUUCGGUAACAAACAACUGUGUUCUGUUGCCACUGCAUCAACAACAACAUUACGGACCGACUAUCAUUGAAGGUGCCCACCCACAAGGCAAAGUUGAAAAAUUUCUUAGAUGCCCUGCUGCCUCGGGAGGUCAAGGAGAUUGUUGAUGAUUGUGGUAUCCUUACAUUGGUAGAUUAUUCCCUGACCAUUCUUGACGUUUCACUAUUGAGAGCUUUUAUUGAGCGGUGACAUAAUGAGACAUCUUCCUUCCAUGUUCUGUUUGGUGAGAUGACGAUUACCUUGGAUGAUGUCUCCUCUCAGUUCCAUCUUUCUCUGCCAGUGUCGAAUAUACGAGCAUUUCUCUUUCAUUUGUAAGAGGCGGUAUUCAUACGACUACUAGCUCCACACAUUCCAGAAGAUGAAAGUCCAGUCUUGCACACCUAGGCGGUGUUCUGGAGUACAGGAAGAGGAUUGAUGUUCUAAGUAUAUACAAUAUCAUCUAGACACCUUACGUAGACCAUAGAGUGCAUCGGGAGUUUGAUAAAUAUUCCUUUUUUCUAGUUAUUUGCGAUGGGAUGCCUUAAUGGCUAGACACUUACCUGAGAGGUGUACGUUCCAUUUUUUGGGUAUGUCCAGGACAUCCCACGACCAAUUCAUAUCGUUCCAUCCGAGGGUAUUGAUAGAUGGUUUGUGGGUAAUGUUAUUAGUUAUGCUCGUGUCAUUAGAGAUCAUGUAAUGGAGGUUCAGUUCCCUGCGCAGUGUGUGAAUGGUUACUUAGAGUGGUACCUUAUUGUAUCACACCCCCACAUCAUCCGAUCUGUUGAGACUGGAGAUGAUGUUGGACCUUUUGAUGUUGGGGGGGCUUCUAAUGACGUGUCACCGCCUCAACCGUUUCCACCUGUUGUGGCUGACCAACAUCGUCUGUAGAUGAUAGUAGUCAUUAUGGAUAACCUCAUGGGUUUGGUAAAGCCAUAUAGUGAGGUUUAUACUUUGGCAUCGCAGGCAACACACAUAGCUUGUGGGUGACCUGUGUAAUUAUUAUUAUUAUUUUUGUAUUAUU